UCCUCCAUUGGGGGCCGUGUGAUCCAUCCAAUAGCUGACUGUGAUCAUCACACUUCUGUGUUUGCUAGGCCCCGACAUAGUCUCACAAGAGUCUAUUCUCUCUCGUAUUGUUUGUUGUACAGAAACUAAUUGGUUUGAUUUACCUGUUUGCCCAUUUGCCUGUUUCUCUAUUUUGUUGCCUGUGCAGGCCAGAAGAGGGCAUCAGAUCUCCUUCUAGAUGGUUUGUGAGCCACCAUGUGGUUGCUGGGAAUUGAACUCAGGACCUCUGGAAGAGCAGCCAGUGUAAACACUGAGCCGACUCUCCAGCCCUUGACUUGAUUUAUCUGUGAUGGGAGAUAGGGUCUAGUCUGUGCGCUGUGUGUGAGGUUCCCAGCACCACUCAUACAGAUUGCCCUUGCUCUAGUGCAGGAUUGGGUGCUUUUGUCCGUGAUGGCGCGGGUAGAGAGGGGAGGGACUUCCUGGAUCUCGAGCUGUUCUGUUAGUCUGAAUGUGUGUGCUUCUAUGCUAGCACCGUGCUAUUUUGUUUAUUUUCUAUAGGUAGUAUGUUUUGAGAUGUGAGUUAUUAUGAUGCUUCUGGUCUUUUAUUUUUGCUAAAAUACUUUUUUUUUCCCAAAAACAAUUUUUUAUUAGAUAUUUUCUUCAUUUACAUUUCAAAUGCCAUCCCGAAAGUCCCCUAUACCCUCCCCCAACCCUGCUCACUGCUUCCUGGCCCUGGCAUUCUCCUGUACUGGGGCAUAUAAUCUUUGCAAGACCAAGGACUUCUCUUCCCAAUGAUGGCUGUGACUAGGCCAUCCUCUGCUACAUACGCAACUAGAGACACAGCUCUGGGGGUUGCUGGUCAGUUCACUCCCUUGGCUAGAUGUGGGCCUAAGGGGCUUAGCUUUGUUUUUGCUUUUUAAUAGUGUAGUGCUAAGGCUCUGGAAAGGUUGUUGGACACCUUAGGUAUCUCUGAGCUUCAUUUCCCAGUCCUUUGUAAGGGUUUUUUGUUGCUGUUGUUGUUUUUGUUUUGGCAGUGGGGAUUGCUUUCCUGAUUUUUCUUUUCUUUUUUUUUUAUUCACUAGCUCACUGUUGGUAUAUAAAAAUGCUACUGCCUUUGUAUAUUGAUCUUCGUAUCUUGAAACUGAAUUCACGUACCAGUUUUAUCAGUGUGAGAGUCAGACUUCAUAUAGAGAAUCCUGGUGCUGCACACAGACUAUGCUUGCCUCCUCUCCUGUUUGGUUAUCCUUUGGUUCUUUCUCUUGCCACGCUACUCUGGGUAAGAUGUUACACUCAGGCAAAAUGCCUGUCCCUCCCUUAUCCUUGACUUUACAGGGAAUCAUUUCUGUCUUUUAAAUAUUAGGAAAUCCAUGAAACAUUCUCCCUACUUGGUAAAACUAGCAGACACCUUGCUUAAGUAGUGUCUUUAAAUGUUUUCAGCAGGAUCAAAUGGGCCUGUAGAAACAACUUAAAUCAUACAAAUUUUUAAAUGUGUUUUGUAGAAUAUUGAUUUUUUUUUAGCUAUGCUCUUGAAUGUUGAUUAGUGUAUACAUUCAUAUCUCUUAUGUAGCAUUGAUCUUGAAUCUAUAUGAAAUAUAAUGCUCACAUUUUAGGCAGUUUU
rnacentral:lncRNA from 1 species